rnacentral:lncRNA from 1 species
AGGUUAAAAAACUAAAAAGGCGGGAACACUAUGAAUAAUUAUAUAGGUUAUAUCUUCCUAUUGUUAGAAUAUUUUGUCGAAACUACACAAUUGUUAAGCAAAUUUGUCGUAACUACAAAUCGUCUUGUGAAGAUACGACUAAAAAUGUUAACAAAUGGAGAUUCGACAAAUUGGCUUAACAUAAACUGUAUGAAUGCAGAUCCGACAAAA